CCUACGGGAGGCAGCAGUGAGGAAUAUUGGUCAAUGGGCGCAAGCCUGAACCAGCCAAGUCGCGUGAGGGAUGACGGUCCUAUGGAUUGUAAACCUCUUUUGUCGGGGAGCAAGGCCCGCCACGUGUGGCGGGAAGGAGAGUACCCGAAGAAAAAGCAUCGGCUAACUCCGUGCCAGCAGCCGCGGUAAUACGGAGGAUGCGAGGUUUAUCUGGAUUUAUUGGGUUUAAAGGGUGCGUAGGCGGAAGGUUAAGUCAGCGGUCAAAUGUCGGUGCUCAACACCGGCCUGCCGUUGAAACUGGUCGUCUUGAGUGAGUGAGAAGUAUGCGGAAUGCGUGGUGUAGCGGUGAAAUGCAUAGAUAUCACGCAGAACUCCGAUUGCGAAGGCAGCAUACCGGCGCUCAACUGACGCUGAGGCACGAAAGCGUGGGGAUCGAACAGGAUUAGAUACCCCUGUAGUC
rnacentral:rRNA from 1 species